UUUGGGCCCAAUUUCCUUUUUCUUCUGCGUGGUCGUUGUGGGCUGUUCUCUGUCCAUUUCCUCAUCAGCGUAUCUGCCUCUGCAUCGGGACCUGUGCCUUCUAUUUCUCUGCAAUUCUGUGCUUUCUGCAUGGCAACCAGGUGACUGACCCCUCUUUAAAGCUCAAAGAGCUGUUGCGUAAAGCUUUUUCUGAAAAACAGCACCCUGCCCAUAUUCCAGCUCCAUGGUCGUUCAAACUAAGGGGAACCUUUGAAGUUGCCCUCUCCUUGCCACCAGCCUCUACAAAGAAACAGACCUGCUGACCACAGCCUUUCCCCGGAGUCUGCCCUACUUAGCUAGCCAAGGACAUCCAACUCUGAGCCUGCCUCUCUGUGGUCUCUGCCUCUCAGCUGUCAGGGUUUAUAUGAUAUUCAGAGUUUGGGCUGUUAGCUAGUCACCGCCUUUCAAUCACAGACCUGGGAGUACAGGCAACAGAGGGAGUCAGUGUCCAGCCUCUUCCCCAGCUGUGGACACCAUCCUGGGGAAGCCCUUGGUUUUGGCUGCAGCACAGCAGAGGGGAAUAAGCAAGGACUCCAGUGGCUGCCACUCAGUCCAUUUCUUGAAGCCUCGGUUUCCUUAUUGAAUGUGGGGAUGAGAAGCAUAGUUGAUCAGGAAGCUGGAGGGAGGUGGUCCAGGGCUGCUCAAGGAUAUUUUCUGUCUCCUGGUUCUGCCAUCCUCAUAUGUGGCUUUGGUCCUCUUAGUGAAAGCUCCAUUAUCUUCUGUAUUUCAACAAGGUAGGAGGAAGAGUGAAAAUGAAGGGCAAGAGCCAAGGGCUUUCUGCUCCUGAGAACUCGUGUGUGUGUGUGUUGUGGGAGUGGGUGUGGAAGGCAGCCCUUCCAUAGGAGUGCACUGCUAUGUAGAUGGUCAGACUGUGUCACAUGGCCAAUCUGAGCCUUAAUGAUGGCUGGAAAGGAAUUUAUUUUAUAGGCUCAGCUGUUGAGGAAGGCAAGGGAGGAGGUGUUUGAAAUUGUGUGUGAUCUGUCCUCGGAGUUCCUCUGCCCCAGGAUAUGUGUGAAGAGAGCUGUAGCAGACAUUGCUUAGACUGGGUUUUGUUUCAUUUCGAGCUGUUUGACCUGCUAUUCAGGGUCUAAGGUCUGACCUUCUUUCCUUCACUGUCCCUCUGGCUCAGUUUCCUCAUCUCUGAGCACUGAAGAAUCACAUGCUCUGUGCACCCUGCCUUGGACCCCACCGUCUGGGGAGGCUUGGCCACCUCUUUCCAGAGCCCACCCUUCU
rnacentral:lncRNA from 1 species